GCACACACACUCACACCACUGAAUCUAUUUUUCUUGUUUUGUGUAAACAGUUUCCAGGCUGACCACUCAGACAACCCAUGAAGAGGUUCAUCACUGGGAAGACUACUUCUCCCAGCAGUCUCUGGUUACCUGUAGUUCUUUGUCUAUAGCUGCUUCCAGCCGUGUGCAUACAGUGUAACCAGCUGCUUCCAGCCCUGUGGAUACAGUGUAACCAGCUGCUGCCAGCUCCUGCUACCUUGACAUCCCCACCAUGAUGUACUUCAGGUUUGAACUGUGAGCCAAAAUAAACACUUUCUCUUUUUGUUUUCUUGGGGUAUCCCAACAGCAAGAAAAGUAACUAUGACCCUAGCCAAACUUUAAUUGUCCUAUCCUUA
rnacentral:lncRNA from 1 species